UUUAACUACAACCAUGAGUUUCCGCGCUCAACUUUAAUUAUUUGUUUUAUUUAAAUUUUUUUAUAGUUAUUACUUUUGUUGUUAUGAGAUGAUAAAACAUGAAUAAUACUUUACUCAUGACUUAUGUUUUUAAUUUUUUUAAAAUAUUUUUCAAAUAAGACGGACGAUUAAAUUUAGACGCGGAAAACCAUAGCUGCACUUAUA
rfam:Oryza glumipatula chromosome 11, whole genome shotgun sequence.